UGCAAGUCGAGCGGAUGAGAAGAGCUUGCUCUUCGAUUCAGCGGCGGACGGGUGAGUAAUGCCUAGGAAUCUGCCUGGUAGUGGGGGACAACGUUUCGAAAGGAACGCUAAUACCGCAUACGUCCUACGGGAGAAAGCAGGGGACCUUCGGGCCUUGCGCUAUCAGAUGAGCCUAGGUCGGAUUAGCUAGUUGGUGGGGUAAUGGCUCACCAAGGCGACGAUCCGUAACUGGUCUGAGAGGAUGAUCAGUCACACUGGAACUGAGACACGGUCCAGACUCCUACGGGAGGCAGCAGUGGGGAAUAUUGGACAAUGGGCGAAAGCCUGAUCCAGCCAUGCCGCGUGUGUGAAGAAGGUCUUCGGAUUGUAAAGCACUUUAAGUUGGGAGGAAGGGCAGUAAGCGAAUACCUUGCUGUUUUGACGUUACCGACAGAAUAAGCACCGGCUAACUCUGUGCCAGCAGCCGCGGUAAUACAGAGGGUGCAAGCGUUAAUCGGAAUUACUGGGCGUAAAGCGCGCGUAGGUGGUUUGUUAAGUUGAAUGUGAAAGCCCCGGGCUCAACCUGGGAACUGCAUCCAAAACUGGCAAGCUAGAGUACGGUAGAGGGUGGUGGAAUUUCCUGUGUAGCGGUGAAAUGCGUAGAUAUAGGAAGGAACACCAGUGGCGAAGGCGACCUGGACUGAUACUGACACUGAGGUGCGAAAGCGUGGGGAGCAAACAGGAUUAGAUACCCUGGUAGUCCACGCCGUAAACGAUGUCAACUAGCCGUUGGAAUCCUUGAGAUUUUAGUGGCGCAGCUAACGCAUUAAGUUGACCGCCUGGGGAGUACGGCCGCAAGGUUAAAA
rnacentral:rRNA from 1 species